rnacentral:rRNA from 1 species
UCCACGCCGUAAACGAUGGAUACUAGGUGUAGGUGGUCAUUUAACCCUUCUGUGCCGAAGCUAACGCGUUAAGUAUCCCGCCUGGGGACUACGGCCGCAAGGUUAAAACUCAAAGGAAUUGACGGGGGCCUGCACAAGCAGCGGAGCGUGUGGUUUAAUUCGAUGAUACGCGAAGAACCUUACCUGGGCUUGACAUGUUGGUAGUAGUGAAGCGAAAGCGGAGCGACCCUUCGGGGAGCCAUCACAGGUGCUGCAUGGCUGUCGUCAGCUCGUGUCGUGAGAUGUUGGGUUAAGUCCCGC